ACACUAUGGUGGGGUUUGAGCAAUCCUGAUUUAGGAAUCUGUUCAGGAAGGGGCAUGGUAAUCUAUCAAAGAACAGUGGUACAAUAUUAAUUAACGACUCAAAGGUAUGCAACUGAAUUUAUUGAUAGAUUUAGAUGCCACCGUAUUUUGUAUUUGUUCGGGUUAUGCUGCAAAAGAGAUGCUUUACAUGGCCCAACCUUUUGCUAGCACAAACGCAUGACCAAAUUUGGCUUGGCGCUGUAACAAAUUUUCAGUUUCAUGUUUAUCAACUUA